rnacentral:rRNA from 1 species
GAUGAACGCUGGCGGCGUGCCUAAUACAUGCAAGUCGAGCGAACAGACGGGGAGCUUGCUCCUCUGACGUUAGCGGCGGACGGGUGAGUAACACGUGGAUAACCUACCUAUAAGACUGGGAUAACUUCGGGAAACCGGAGCUAAUACCGGAUAAUAUAUUGAACCGCAUGGUUCAAUAGUGAAAGACGGUUUUGCUGUCACUUAUAGAUGGAUCCGCGCCGCAUUAGCUAGUUGGUAAGGUAACGGCUUACCAAGGCAACGAUGCGUAGCCGACCUGAGAGGGUGAUCGGCCACACUGGAACUGAGACACGGUCCAGACUCCUACGGGAGGCAGCAGUAGGGAAUCUUCCGCAAUGGGCGAAAGCCUGACGGAGCAACGCCGCGUGAGUGAUGAAGGUCUUCGGAUCGUAAAACUCUGUUAUUAGGGAAGAACAAAUGUGUAAGUAACUAUGCACGUCUUGACGGUACCUAAUCAGAAAGCCACGGCUAACUACGCG